UGAAUAUGAAGCGAUUGAUUGCAGUUAGUUUCGACCUAACCUUAGGUAAUUAUUAUACCCUUAUUCU
rnacentral:tRNA from 2 species